rnacentral:rRNA from 1 species
AGCGAACGCUGGCGGCAGGCCUAACACAUGCCAGUCGAACGAACUCUUCGGAGUUGGUGGCGGACGGGUGAGUAACACGUGGGGACGUGCCUUUUGGUUCGGAAUAACUCAGGGAAACUUGUGCUAAUACCGAAUGUGCCCUUCGGGGGAAAGAUUUAUCGCCAUUAGAGCGGCCCGCGUCUGAUUAGCUAGUUGGUGAGGUAACGGCUCACCAAGGCGACGAUCAGUAGCUGGUCUGAGAGGAUGACCAGCCACACUGGGACUGAGACACGGCCCAGACUCCUACGGGAGGCAGAGUGGGGAAUCUUGCGCAAUGGGCGAAAGCCUGACGCAGCCAUGCCGCGUGAAUGAUGAAGGUCUUAGGAUUGUAAAAUUCUUUCACCGGGGACGAUAAUGACGGUACCCGGAGAAGAAGCCCCGGCUAACUUCGUG